GAUGAACGCUGGCGGCGUGUCUAAUCCCUGCAAGUCGAGCGAACAGACGUGGAGCUUGCUCCUCUCACGUUCGCGGCGGACGGGUGAGAAACACGUGGAUCACCUACCUAUAUGACUGGGAUAACCUCGGGAAACCGGAGCCAAUCCCGGAUAACAUAUCGCACGGCAUGGUUCAAUAGCGCAAGACGGUUUUGCAGUCACUUAUCGAUAGAUCAGCGCCGCGUUAGCUCGUUGGCAAGGUAACGGCUUACCAAGGCAAUGAUGCUUAUCCGACAUCCGCGGAUGAUCGGCCACACAGGAACUGAGACACGGUCCUAACUCCUACGGGAGGCAGCAGUAAGGAAUCUACCGCAAUGGGCGAAAGCCUGACAUAGCAACGCCGCGUGAGCGAUGAAGGUCUUCGGAUCGUAAGACUCUUUUAUGAGGGAAGAACCAGGGUGUGAGUUACUAUUCGCGUCUUGACGUUGCCUAAGCAUAAAGCCACGACUAACUACGUG
rnacentral:rRNA from 1 species